rnacentral:rRNA from 1 species
AUUGAACGCUGGCGGCAUGCCUUACACAUGCAAGUCGAACGGCAGCAUGAUCUAUCUUGCUAGAUUGAUGGCGAGUGGCGAACGGGUGAGUAAUACAUCGGAACGUGCCCUGUAGUGGGGGAUAACUAGUCGAAAGAUUAGCUAAUACCGCAUACGACCUGAGGGUGAAAGUGGGGGACCGCAAGGCCUCAUGCUAUAGGAGCGGCCGAUGUCUGAUUAGCUAGUUGGUGAGGUAAAGGCUCACCAAGGCGACGAUCAGUAGCUGGUCUGAGAGGACGAUAAGCCACACUGGGACUGAGACACGGCCCAGACUCCUACGGGAGGCAGCAGUGGGGAAUUUUGGACAAUGGGCGAAAGCCUGAUCCAGCAAUGCCGCGUGUGUGAAGAAGGCCUUCGGGUUGUAAAGCACUUUUGUCCGGAAAGAAAUGGCUCUGGUUAAUACCUGGGGUCGAUGACGGUACCGGAAGAAUAAGGACCGGCUAACUACGUG